rnacentral:rRNA from 1 species
CUACCUGCAGUCGACGGAAGGCCCUGCUUUUGUGGGGUGCUCGAGUGGCGAACGGGUGAGUAACACGUGAGUAACCUGCCCUUGACUUUGGGAUAACUUCAGGAAACUGGGGCUAAUACCGGAUAGGAGCUCCUGCUGCAUGGUGGGGGUUGGAAAGUUUCGGCGGUUGGGGAUGGACUCGCGGCUUAUCAGCUUGUUGGUGGGGUAGUGGCUUACCAAGGCUUUGACGGGUAGCCGGCCUGAGAGGGUGACCGGCCACAUUGGGACUGAGAUACGGCCCACACUCCUACGGGAGGCAGCAGUGGGGAAUAUUGCACAAUGGGCGGAAGCCUGAUGCAGCAACGCCGCGUGCGGGAUGACGGCCUUCGGGUUGUAAACCGCUUUCGCCUGUGACGAAGCGUGAGUGACGGUAAUGGGUAAAGAAGCACCGGCUAACUACGUGCCAGCAGCC